CCUACGGGGGGCAGCAGUGAGGAAUAUUGGUCAAUGGACGAGAGUCUGAACCAGCCAAGUAGCGUGAAGGAUGACUGCCCUAUGGGUUGUAACCUUCUUUUAUAAAGGAAUAAAACGAGGCACGUGUGCCUUUUUGCAUGUACUUUAUGAAUAAGGAUCGGCUAACUCCGUGCCAGCAGCCGCGGUAAUACGGAGGAUCCGAGCGUUAUCCGGAUUUAUUGGGUGUAAUGGGUGCGUAGAUGGGUUGUUAAGUCAGUUGUGAAAGUUUGCGGCUCAACCGUAAAAUUGCAAUUGAUACUGGCAGUCUUGAGUACAGUUGAGGUAAGCGGAAUUCGUGGUGUAGCGGUGAAAUGCUUAGAUAUCACGAAGAACCCCGAUUGCGAAGGCAGCUUACUAAACUGUGACUGACAUUGAUGCUCGAAAGUGUGGGUAUCAAACAGGAUUAGAUACCCUUGUAGUC
rnacentral:rRNA from 1 species